rnacentral:misc_RNA from 1 species
AACGCACAUUGCGCCCGCCGGUAUUCCGGCGGGCAUGCCUGUUCGAGCGUCAUUUCACCACUCAAGCCCAGCUUGGUGUUGGGGCACCCGGAGCCGAGAGGCGCCCGGGGCCCCCAAGUACAUCGGCGGUCUCGCCUGGACCCUGAACGCAGUAACUCGCGGUAAAACGCGCUUCGUUUGGCGGAAUCCUGGCGGGCACUUGCCGCUAAACUCCUUUUUUCUAAGGUUGACCUCGGAUCAGGUAGGAAUACCCGCUGAACUUAA